rnacentral:piRNA from 1 species
UCCUACAAGUAUCUCAAGCCUGAGGUGACCC